rnacentral:rRNA from 1 species
AGUGAACGCUGGCGGUAGGCCUAACACAUGCAAGUCGAACGGCAGCACAGUAAGAGCUUGCUCUUACGGGUGGCGAGUGGCGGACGGGUGAGGAAUACAUCGGAAUCUACUUUUUCGUGGGGGAUAACGUAGGGAAACUUACGCUAAUACCGCAUACGCCCUACGGGUGAAAGCAGGGGAUCUUCGGACCUUGCGCGAUUGAAUGAGCCGAUGUCGGAUUAGCUAGUUGGCGGGGUAAAGGCCCACCAAGGCGACGAUCCGUAGCUGGUCUGAGAGGAUGGUCAGCCACACUGGAACUGAGACACGGUCCAUACUCCUACGGGAGGCAGCAGUGGGGAAUAUUAGACAAUGGGCGCAAGCCUGAUCCAGCCAGACCGCGUGGGUGAAGAAGGCCUUCGGGUUGUAAAGCCCUUUUGUUGGGAAAGAAAAGCAGCAGGUUAAGACCCCGCGGUUCUGACGGUACCCAAAGAAUAAGCACCGGCUAACUUCGUG